rnacentral:rRNA from 1 species
GUGCCAGCAGCCGCGGUAAUACGGGGGGAGCAAGCGUUAUCCGGAAUUACUGGGCAUAAAGGGCACGUAGGCGGAUUAAUAAGUCAGUUUUAAAAUACAGCAGCUUAACUGUUGAUUGGGAGCUGAAACUGUUAACCUUGAGUGCGAGAGAAGGAAGUGGAAUUCCUGGUGUAGCGGUGAAAUGCGUAGAUAUCAGGAGGAACACCGAAAGCGAAGGCAGCUCUCUGGGCCAAUACUGACGCUGAGGCGCGAAAGCGUGGGGAGCAAACAGGAUUAGAUACCCUGGUAGUCCACGCCGUAAACGAUGAGCACUUGGUGUCGGGGGAUUCGACCCCCUCGGUGCCGUAGCUAACGUGUUAAGUGCUCCGCCUGGGGACUACGACCGCAAGGUUGAAACUCAAAGGAAUUGACGGGGGCCCGCACAAGCGGUGGAACAUGUGGUUUAAUUCGAUGCAACGCGAAGAACCUUACCUGGGCUUGACAUGUCAGUGAAAGUCCCGUGAAAGCGGGACCCUCUGCGAGCUUGCUCAAUGACACUGUCACAGGUGGUGCAUGGCUGUCGUCAGCUCGUGUCGUGAAAUGUUGGGUUAAGUCCCGCAACGAGCGCAACCCUUGUCCUUAGUUGCCA